rnacentral:rRNA from 1 species
AGAGUUUGAUCAUGGCUCAGAGCGAACGCUGGCGGCAUGCUUAACACAUGCAAGUCGCACGGGCAGGGCAACCUGUCAGUGGCGGACGGGUGAGUAACGCGUAGGAAUCUAUCUCUGGGUGGGGGACAACCGUGGGAAACUACGGCUAAUACCGCAUGAUACCUGAGGGUCAAAGGCGAAAGUCGCCUGGAGAGGAGCCUGCGUCCGAUUAGCUAGUUGGUGGGGUAAAGGCCUACCAAGGCUCCGAUCGGUAGCUGGUCUGAGAGGAUGAUCAGCCACACUGGGACUGAGACACGGCCCAGACUCCUACGGGAGGCAGCAGUGGGGAAUAUUGGACAAUGGGCGAAAGCCUGAUCCAGCAAUGCCGCGUGGGUGAAGAAGGUCUUCGGAUUGUAAAGCCCUUUCGACGGGGACGAUGAUGACGGUACCCGUAGAAGAAGCCCCGGCUAACUUCGUGCCAGCAGCCGCGGUAAUACGAAGGGGGCUAGCGUUGCUCGGAAUGACUGGGCGUAAAGGGCGCGUAGGCGGUUCGUACAGUUGGAUGUGAAAUUCCUGGGCUCAACCUGGGGGCUGCAUUCAAUACGUACGAGCUUGAGUUCGGAAGAGGGUCGUGGAAUUCCCAGUGUAGAGGUGAAAUUCGUAGAUAUUGGGAAGAACACCGGUGGCGAAGGCGGCGACCUGGUCCGAUACUGACGCUGAGGCGCGAAAGCGUGGGGAGCAAACAGGAUUAGAUACCCCCGUAGUCC